UGAAUCACUCAACUGAACAUAUAUUUUUGUUUUUGACGAAUGAGCUGAUUGCUUGCCAAGUAAUAAGGUUCAGAACCUGUUUUUCCUACUUUUAGCUAUUCAAAGCAGCUUCCUUCUGUCAGUGGUGUUCGUGAUGGCCAUAGUAGCACAGUAAUUGUACCCCAAUAUCUGAAGGACCCCACUUGGGAAAGCUGCAACUGAAGGAAAAGUUUGACUUUUCUUCCGUUUCUCGUCGGAACGAGGAAUAAUCACUCUAUGGAAUGUGACUGCGUCGGAAAGCAAAAUCCCACCGAUAUCUGGACCUGUCCCGAGGCUCUCAAGUCGCCCAGUGCAAAACAAUCCAGUAAUUAAGGCGUCGGGCUAAUGACGGCAGCACUGGACUCCAUGAAGCAGGAAAAAGAGAUCCCGUCAAUCCGCCCAGCAGCAGGCAGCAUCCCUCUGGGUAACAAAACCCCUUCGCGGACUCCUCCUAACUUUACCCCGAGCGGAAUUUUUUGCCAUUUAGUGCCACGGCAUCCCCUAGCGCUGAACCGCGGAAACAGUCUGCGCUCCGGAGCUGGGAAGCAUGGAUUCCCCAAAGCCCUUGUCCCUCACAACUGAACAAA